rnacentral:rRNA from 1 species
AACGAACGCUGGCGGCGUGCCUAAUACAUGCAAGUCGAACGAGAAAGUGGGGCAACCCAUUAGUAAAGUGGCAAACGGGUGCGUAAUACAUAGGUAACCUACCCUCAAGAUGGGGAUAACCUUCCGAAAGGAGGGCUAAUACCGAAUGAGACCACAGGUGCUACGGCACCAGGGGUCAAAGGUGGCCUCUAUUUAUAAGCUAUCGCUUGAGGAUGGGCUUAUGCACCAUCAGCUUGUUGGUGAGGUAACGGCUCACCAAGGCUAUGACGGUUAGCUGAUCUGAGAGGUUGAUCAGCCACACUGGAACUGAGACACGGUCCAGACUCCUACGGGAGGCAGCAGUAGGGAAUAUUGCGCAAUGGAGGAAACUCUGACGCAGCGACGCCGCGUGGGUGAUGAAGGUCUUCGGAUCGUAAAGCCCUGUCGGAAGGGACGAAAAAUGGGGUGGCUAACAUCCACUCCACUUGACGGUACCUUCAAAGGAAGCACCGGCUAACUACGUGCCAGCAGCCGCAGUAAUAC